rfam:Aedes albopictus isolate Foshan contig29545, whole genome shotgun sequence.
UCUUUUGUGGUAUAGUUGACAACGCGCCUGUCUAGUGAGUAGGAGUCGUGAGUUCGAGUCUCACCGAGAGGA